UAGAUAUUGUCCUCUCUCGACUUUUUCUUCUGGGCUUCCCCCAAGAUUUUAAAACGCGACUACUAAGGAUAGGUUUCGACACCCGUAUAACGUGGGAUCUCACAAAAUUAGUCCAAACAAAGAAAUAGAAAAGCUAUCAUAUAUGCAAAGUAAAUCGAUAAAUGAAGUCGGUAACCCUUGAGGGGAAAAUGGCAGGUAAAAGCACUAUCUGGGAUGUGUAUAUGACAGAAUUUCAACCGAUGUGAGAUCUCACAAUCCACCC